rnacentral:lncRNA from 1 species
UUGGCCAUUGUUCCACUAUAUGUUACCCCUUUCACCGGAUCUAGGUGGUCGAUUCAAUCGCUCGCUGUGGCAGGCUUAUGUUUCUGUUAACAAGAUUUUUGCUGAUAGGAUAAUGGAAGUAAUCAACCCGGAAGAUGACUUUGUGUGGGUUCAUGACUACCAUCUAAUGGUACUACCUACCUUCUUAAGGAAGAGAUUCAAUAGAGUAAAGCUUGGAUUUUUCCUGCAUAGCCCAUUUCCUUCUUCGAUCAACCCGGAAGAUGAUUUUGUGUGGGUUCAUGACUAUCAUCUAAUGGUACUACCAUCCUUCUUAAGGAAGAGAUUCAAUAGAGUAAAGCUUGGAUUUUUCCUGCAUAGUCCAUUUCCUUCUUCCGAGAUAUAUAAAACUUUGCCUAUUCGCGAAGAGAUUUUACGAGCUCUCCUGAAUUCGGAUUUGAUUGGGUUCCACACU